AAAUUGAAGAGUUUGAUCAUGGCUCAGAUUGAACGCUGGCGGCAGGCCUAACACAUGCAAGUCGAACGGUAACAGGAAGCAGCUUGCUGCUUCGCUGACGAGUGGCGGACGGGUGAGUAAUGUCUGGGAAACUGCCUGAUGGAGGGGGAUAACUACUGGAAACGGUGGCUAAUACCGCAUAACGUCGCAAGACCAAAGAGGGGGACCUUCGGGCCUCUUGCCAUCGGAUGUGCCCAGAUGGGAUUAGCU
rnacentral:rRNA from 1 species